AUUCUUCCUACUCCGUUGAAUCCUCUCCCAUCAGGUCGGAAUCAACCUCCCGUCCGGUCGCCCAACUUCCUCCAGUGUGAAAAAUUCUCUCCCUUUCUCCCACCUUCCGGCCGGUUCGCUGUUCUUCCUUCCUCUGUCCGGCUGGUUUGUUGUCCCUCUUUCUUCUGUCCGGCCCGUUUGCCGUAGUCCGAGGUUGCGCGCUUUGGUGGGACAAGUUUUCCGGACCGUUGUCCGAGGUCGCGUGCUUCGGUGGGAGAAUUGUUAAGGACCUUCGUCCAAGGUGAACAUCAUGUAAUUGGUUUAGAAGAGGGCUCUAUGCUGGAGGAUUUUUACCGGAAUCUAUCGAAAAAAUGGAAUCAGGUAUGAUUGCACGGUGUAGGAGUGAGCAACAGAGUGUGCCUCCCCGAAGCACGGUUGGACGCAGAUAUGUUACUCAUCUUUUAUAAUUAAGUAGUAUUUGUUCAUCUUUAAUCAAUUUUAUUGUAAAAUGCAGUCACAGUUGUGCCUUACGAAAGAAUGCAGCUUGUAAGCAUUUAUGUAAUCAUAUUCAACACAUCUAAAAGCAUGUUGUUUAUAUAAAAACUUAUACUAGGUAUGAUGCAUAUAUCCUUGAAUUUCGACAUGUAAGAUUGGUAAGAAGUUACCUACCUUUUGUUUAUCGGACAUGCUAGUAAUAAUUCUUUCAUGAUAUCGGCAUACAACAACACCCUGGUAUUUUGUUGCGAUUUUGUCUGUAGGUAGUAAGUAUUCACCUCCACAAUUUUAUUGUAGCGCAGUGCAGUACAAAUCACUGAAGAGAUUGUACAUAUGUGUAAUGGGGAUGUAACGUAUUGAAGGUGUUUAAAGAUGUUCACUCAUUCUUUACACGUCACUGCCAGUAUCCUCUAGCAAAUUGGUUUAGUUAGGUGUACUGUGAUCGAUGCAUUGAAAGUCCAUAGCCUGUGGCAUUUACUGCAUCAUCUACCUUGCUGUGGUGAAUAGAUGCGGUUGUUUUUUUAAGUACUUGGAUGGCAUGAUAGAUAACUGUGUACAUACUCGGUUGAAUAAGAUGGGUACCUAAGUUUUUUUUUUUAUUUAUGAAGAAAAGUUUUAUUACCCUAUAGAAUUGAAAUUAUUUACAUCUAACAGAAUUUUCAUUCCUAUUUUUAUAUUUGUAAUGCGUAGGCGAGACCGAAUGUUCGAGAGUGAAUGAAGAUGGCACAGGUGGCAUCCUUAUUCCCGACGAAAAUACUAGUAUGAUUUUAACGUAGAGAUGCAU